rnacentral:rRNA from 1 species
UACGUAGGGUGCAAGCGUUAAUCGGAAUUACUGGGCGUAAAGCGUGCGCAGGCGGUGAUGUAAGACAGAUGUGAAAUCCCCGGGCUCAACCUGGGAACUGCAUUUGUGACUGCAUCGCUAGAGUACGGCAGAGGGGGAUGGAAUUCCGCGUGUAGCAGUGAAAUGCGUAGAUAUGCGGAGGAACACCGAUGGCGAAGGCAAUCCCUGGGCCUGUACUGACGCUCAUGCACGAAAGCGUGGGGAGCAAACAGG